GUGGGGGUGCUCUGACCACUAAUAGAAAUGUUGGCCAGAGGGGAGGCUUGGGGGUGGGGGGAGAUGAGGAGUUCUGUUUGGGACACAUUGAGUUUAAAAUGUCAAUGGCAGAUGCACUUUAAAAUGUCCAAGACGCAGUUGGAGAUGGGAGACUGGAAGUCAGAAGAAAGGUUGGAUAACUAGACCUGGGAACCAUCUGCAGGCCCUGGGAGCUGACCCAAUCACCCAGCAAAGGGCACACAGGAAGAAAAGAAGAGAGCAGUCUCCAGGACAGUGGCUUGGGAGACAUGCAGGGGUGUCAUUUCACAGAGACUAUAGCUGCCACUGGGGCAAAAGUGGCUUCUGCUCCAAGUCUGGGCAGCGGUUCCCUUCCUUCAGAAUGAUUGAAUUAAAAGAUGAUGACCCCCAGGCCAUUAAGCAGGAGUUUACAAAGAUUCAUCAGAAAGUGGAUGCCCUUCUGAGCAGCCUGGAGAAAGAGCCGGCCCAACAGCCAGAGAGGCAGGAGGCACCCAAGGGGGUUUCAAGCAGCAGCAGCAGCAGCAGCUGCAAGGAUCCCCUGACUAACGUGAAGAUGGGGCCUGAGGAUGGCAGCAGCAGUGGCAGCCCCGGACACUGGGCCUAGGACGGGUCAUCCUGGAGGAGGGGUCAUCCUGGCUGAAGGUCUGGCUGAAGGUCAAGGCUCAAGGACCAGCUGGGGGUGGCUAAGGGACACUGGGGGAGGAUUAGCAGCAGCAGCAGCGCUCUCCAGCACCCUGGGCAGGGGGGUGAUGGGGCCUUCGAGGGCUCCCCUGGCCUCAUUGUAACACCAGGGCCCUCGUCCUAGAGCCAGCCUCACCAGGUUCUCUCCCGUGGUACGUGCUCACUGUUGCCCUCAACCUUAGCCUCUCCCUCAAUCCCCUGUGCCUGCAGAGGCCUCUUUCCAACCACAAUUCUUAGAGGAGUUCGAUGAAGAUCUCUCUAUUUUCCUCAUUUAACUAAGAAACCUUGUUUUGGCUAAAACAAUAAAGUUCUGUUGUCCUGCUGCA
rnacentral:lncRNA from 1 species